rnacentral:rRNA from 1 species
AUACGGAGGGUGCAAGCGUUAAUCGGAAUUACUGGGCGUAAAGCGCACGCAGGCGGUCAAUUAAGUCAGAUGUGAAAGCCCCGAGCUUAACUUGGGAAUUGCAUCUGAAACUGGUUGGCUAGAGUCUUGUAGAGGGGGGUAGAAUUCCACGUGUAGCGGUGAAAUGCGUAGAGAUGUGGAGGAAUACCGGUGGCGAAGGCGGCCCCCCUGGACAAAGACUGACGCUCAGGUGCGAAAGCGUGGGGAGC